rnacentral:rRNA from 1 species
UACGUAGGGGGCUAGCGUUGUCCGGAUUUAUUGGGUUUAAAGGGUGCGUAGGCGGCCUUAUAAGUCAGUGGUGAAAGCCCAUCGCUCAACGAUGGAACUGCCAUUGAUACUGUAAGGCUUGAGUACAGACGAGGUAGGCGGAAUUGAUGGUGUAGCGGUGAAAUGCAUAGAUACCAUCAAGAACACCGAUUGCGUAGGCAGCUUACUAGGCUGUAACUGACGCUGAGGCACGAAAGCGUGGGGAGCGAACAGG